GACGAACGCUGGCGGCGUGCUUAACACAUGCAAGUCGAACGGAAAGGCCCUGCUUUUGUGGGGUGCUCGAGUGGCGAACGGGUGAGUAACACGUGAGUAACCUGCCCUUGACUUUGGGAUAACUUCAGGAAACUGGGGCUAAUACCGGAUAGGAGCUCCUGCUGCAUGGGGGGGGUUGGAAAGUUUCGGCGGGUGGGGAUGGACUCGCGGCUUAUCAGCUUGUUGGUGGGGUAGUGGCUUACCAAGGCUUUGACGGGUAGCCGGCCUGAGAGGGUGACCGGCCACAUUGGGACUGAGAUACGGCCCAGCCCCCUACGGGAGGCAGCAGUGGGGAAUGUUGCACAAUGGGCGGAAGCCUGAUGCAGCAACGUCGCGUGCGGGAUGACGGCCUUCGGGUUGUAAACCGCUUUGGCCUGUGACGAAGGGUGAGUGCCGGUAGUGGGUAAAGAAGCGCCGGCUAACUACGUG
rnacentral:rRNA from 1 species